rnacentral:rRNA from 1 species
CCUACGGGAGGCAGCAGUGGGGAAUUUUGGACAAUGGGCGCAAGCCUGAUCCAGCAAUGCCGCGUGAGUGAAGAAGGCCUUCGGGUUGUAAAGCUCUUUUGUCAGGGAAGAAACGGGUCUUUCUAAUACAGAGGCCUAAUGACGGUACCUGAAGAAUAAGCACCGGCUAACUACGUGCCAGCAGCCGCGGUAAUACGUAGGGUGCAAGCGUUAAUCGGAAUUACUGGGCGUAAAGCGUGCGCAGGCGGUUUUGUAAGUUUGUCGUGAAAUCCCCGGGCUCAACCUGGGAAUGGCGAUGAAGACUGCAAGGCUAGAGUUUGGCAGAGGGGGGUAGAAUUCCACGUGUAGCAGUGAAAUGCGUAGAUAUGUGGAGGAACACCGAUGGCGAAGGCAGCCCCCUGGGUCAAAACUGACGCUCAUGCACGAAAGCGUGGGGAGCAAACAGGAUUAGAUACCCCUGGUAGUCCACGCCCUAAACGAUGUCUACUAGUUGUCGGGUCUUAAAUUGACUUGGUAACGCAGCUAACGCGUGAAGUAGACCGCCUGGGGAGUACGGUGCAAGAAUUAAAACUCAAAGAGUAGUUAGAGNGNGAGNGNGACGAGACGACGAGAGGAGAG